GACGAACGCUGGCGGCGUGCUUAACACAUGCAAGUCGAACGGCAAGGCCCUGCUUUUGUGGGGUGCUCGAGUGGCGAACGGGUGAGUAACACGUGAGUAACCUGCCCUUGACUUUGGGAUAACUUCAGGAAACUGGGGCUAAUACCGGAUAGGAGCUCCUGCUGCAUGGUGGGGGUUGGAAAGUUUCGGCGGUUGGGGAUGGACUCGCGGCUUAUCAGCUUGUUGGUGGGGUAGUGGCUUACCAAGGCUUUGACGGGUAGCCGGCCUGAGAGGGUGACCGGCCCCCUUGGGACUGAGAUACGGCCCAGACUCCUACGGGAGGCAGAAGUGGGGAAUAUUGCACAAUGGGCGGAAGCCUGAUGCAGCAACGCCGCGUGCGGGAUGACGGCCUUCGGGUUGUAAACCGCGUUCGCCUGUGACGAAGCGUGAGUGACGGUAAUGGGUAAAGAAGCACCGGCUAACUACGUG
rnacentral:rRNA from 1 species